CACGUAGGGGGCAAGCGUUGUCCGGAUUUAUUGGGCGUAAAGAGCUCGUAGGCGGUUUCGUAAGUCGGAUGUGAAAACUCCAGCUCAACUUGGAGACGCCAUUCGAUACUGCGAUGACUUGAGUCCGGUAGGGGAGUGUGGAAUUCCUGGUGUAGCGGUGAAAUGCGCAGAUAUCAGGAGGAACACCGGCGGCGAAGGCGGCACUCUGGGCCGGUACUGACGCUGAGGAGCGAAAGCGUGGGUAGCAAACAGG
rnacentral:rRNA from 1 species